CUUCAUUUGGACUUGAAUCGGCAAAAGCUGAAGUGCAAAGGUAAAGUUAGAAUACUGUGGUGGUGUGCUGAGGGAAAUAACGAGCGACCGGCAAGUAGGAAUAGCUAGAUACACCUCCCAACAAAUAGCGAUGUAAUAUCCCGCUAUCGUAAGGGGUGGUUGGGACGUAGAUUGAGGUGUCCAUGUGCAUCCAUCUUUUGGUAGGUAUCCUGGCAUUCAGUAGUUAUAUUCCCCAUCUAGAGUCACUCCGCUGACGGUCAAGGUCUUUGUAUA
rnacentral:sRNA from 1 species